UACGUAGGGCGCGAGCGUUGUCCGGAAUCAUUGGGCGUAAAGAGCUCGUAGGCGGCCUGUCGCGUCUGCUGUGAAAUCCCGGGGCUUAACCCCGGGCGUGCAGUGGAUACGGGCUGGCUGGAGGCAGGCAGGGGAGAACGGAAUUCCCGGUGUAGCGGUGAAAUGCGCAGAUAUCGGAAGGAACACCAGUGGCGAAAGCGGCUUCCUGGUCCAGCACCGACGUUCAGGCACGAAAGCGUGGGGAGCAAACAGG
rnacentral:rRNA from 1 species